ensembl:snoRNA
CCCAUUGCUAUAUGAUGAUAAAGUGUUGGUAGGGACAUCUGAAUGGAUGUGAAGAAACGCCAACUACCCUGACAGCGUGGG